UAUGUUGAUGAAGCCUCCGGAUAGCAGGCUUCAGAGAGAAUAGAUGUGCAUGUCUCUUAUAGGCCCUUAAAAGGUGUCGGAGUCUCCAGAAAAAGCCUAAUAAGGGAAGCAGAUUCUCUGCAGAAUGCACAUUUCCCCCAUGAGAGACAGAUUUGCAAGGGCCAUUUCAACAUAUGUCAAGGAAGUAUAUUUUGGGGUAAAAUACUUUGAUUCCUUCGGGGCUACUAUGUGUCAUGUGAUGCUAUACCGGAGUCCCGUUGAAUUGGGUAUCUUAUUGCUACAGAGAGUCUGUUUUGUCAGUCUAGGAUAUCUGUUUUUAUUUUAAUGUUGGUCAGUUGUGUCUAAAUUCCAGAGCGGGGCAGGUAUAAUGGGGCAUCCCCAGCCCUCCUUCCCAUUCAUGGCCUGAACUGGUUUUUCAGGUUUCUUUGGGUCCCGGUGGCUGCAAGGGGAUGCACUCAGUUGGCUGGGGGACUUAGAAUUUUAGUUUUGGUUUACAGCAGGAUUUGAUGGGCAUGCAUAUUUAUCAAUGUGAAAGUGUUGUCUGUGGGCGGCGGAGGGCUUGGGCCGUGUCCAGGCCACGCGCUGCAAGGGUGCAGCCCCCACACACGGUCCCUGCUCCUAAAGCUGUUGCCCCCACUGCAAGAGUGGAGUAGGUUGAGGUGUAGCCAUGACAUUCUAGAAACUACAUUUUUUGUAAUAGUCAUUUUGAAAAUAAGACAUUUGAAAAUACUGUGCAGCAAAAACUUGAAUAAUUGGAAUAAAAAUGUUCAGUUUAAUGUCAUUGCUUGCUGCCACCGUUUUCUGAUUGUAAAACUAAUGUGAUUAUUAGGUACUAUUUUGGUAAUGUAGAAAACUUUAAAGAUGAAAAUAGAUAUCACUUAUAACUCCACAUGGAGAAAUAGUUGCCCCUCCAAUUUAAUUGAUUUACUUUUGGGCCACAGGGGCCCAGAAUUUGAUUCAUUGUACUCCUUGGUUCAUGCCAGUGUUCCUGCACCCAGCACUGAAGCUGAACAUUGACAGUGACUUGCCCCUGCCCCAGAGUCCUCCCUGCAUUCCCCUCGAGGGCCCCCGUCUCCUGGCCCUGGUGUCCGCUUUCCUCUCAGCUGCCAGGAACGUGUUAGUGUGCCCUGUUCUCCUUUCCCUCACCUGCUGGCUUCAUGUUAGCAUGCACCAUUCUGCUCACUUUCUUCCUCUCACCUGCCAGGAUCAUGUAAGCAUGCACCGUUCUGCACACUUUCUUCCUCUCACCUGCCGGGAUCACGUUAGCAUGCACCGUUCUGCACACUUCCUUCCCCUCAUCUGCCAGGGUCAUCUUAGCAUGCACCAUUCUGCACACUUUCUUCCUCUCGCCUGCUGGGAUCAUGUUAGCGUGCACGGUUCUGCAUACUUGCUUCCCCUCACCUGCCAGGAACAGGUUAGUGUUCCCCAUUCUGCACACUUUCUUCCUCUCACCUGCCGGGAUCAUGUUAGCGUACACCAUUCUGCACACUUUCUUCCUCUGUGUACGUGUGUGUGGUUUUCCUUUCAGAAAUGGGUCAUACUCUGUGGACAUCUUUUUCCACUUAAAGUGAUGGCACCGCCAUUUUCCCAGUCAAGUAACAUGAAUGUACAAGAUUAGCAAACUUCCUCCUGAGAGAUGGAGAGUUCAAGCCUUCUGCUCCGUGGCAGCCAUCCGUGCACAUGCAUCACUGUGCGUGAGCUGGUCCCAGUGGCUUGCUGAGACACGCUCUGCACAGGGGAGAUUUCUGAUACCACCAGGGUGGGAGGCAGUGGGGCAGGUAGAGCCACAAGUGGGGAUGAGGGAGCAGAGUCUAGGGCAGGCUCCUGGAUGGACACCAGCUACACUAUCUAUUGGAUGUGGGACUUCCCUCACUGAUGAAAUGAAUAAGAGAAUCUUCCUCAUCCUGCUGUUGUUGGCGUUAAAACGGGUUAAUGCAUGAAAGCAACAAAGCCCGGCCUGCAGACAGCACUUGGUAAGUCUCCUCUUCCCAGCAUGUUCAACAGGAAGCCCUCAUUCCCUCUAGAAUGUAGGAGUCUUGCCAGCGGUGGCCUGUUUGUUCUCUGCCUGUUGCCGACCUGAUGAGAACAUAAAAUUGGUGUCUUCUGUAUAGAUUUCCUUCUUAUUGCCCCUCCUGUGGCUGAACAUAUCUUCCCCUGUGCUUGAAGUCUGUUCAUAUAUGUUCUGCUGUGAUAACUGCCCAUUCUUGUUCUCUAUCUAAGAAGGCAUUUAGUUUUGAAAAUAUUUUGUUGGCUUGUAAGAUAUUUGUACAUAUUAAGCACAGCAAACCUGUAACAUACUCACUAUAAAUCAUUAUUCCUCAUGCAUCAUUUGCCAUUUAACUGUAUUUUUUUCCUUGUUGAUGUAACCUGCUAUAGUUUACAUUUUUAAAUCAGAAAUACAUGCACAUUUUAAAACGAAGACUCUUAUGCUCUAGCCUUUGAGGUCAUGCUUGGAAAGUCCUUUCUCACACCAAGAUUAUUUACACUUUCAUCUCUUUUUCUCUGAGUACGUUUCAGUGUUUAAUUGACCAGGAAUGUAUUUCGAGGUGUGAUGUGAGACAAGGAUCUGAAAUGCUUCGCCCACUGAAUCAUCAUGCACUGACCGAAAUGCCACCUGUAUGAGUGCUAAAAUAAUUGUCGCGGGACCUGUGUCUGCACUGUUUAAUUUUACUGUUGUUUCUCACAUCAGCUUCUGUUGUUUUCAUGGUUGUGGUUCUCAUACUUUUAAUAUCUGUUGGAGCAAAUCAAAAAUGUCUUAUGUAUGUGAACUUUGGUGUUAUUUGUCAAGUCUGGGCAUUCUCCCACCCCCAUAUUAAAGAAUGUUCUCUGGAGUUUGUCUGGAGGUUUUGUUUAACUUUUAGAUUCACAUCAGGAGAAUCUAUGUCUUCAUGGUAAGUGGCCUUCCCAUCUAAGACUAUUUCUUCAAGCUGUUUGUAAUAAAAAGCUGUGUGGUUUUUGUAUGUUUA
rnacentral:lncRNA from 1 species